CCUCCCGAGCACCUCACCAGCCUCCACUCGCUCCACUACGCCUCCCCAGCCCCUCGUUUUGAGCUCGAGGAGCUCUCCUGCCCUCCCCUCCCCGCCAUGGCCGCCGUUCGGCUCCGCUCAAAUUCGAGCGAGUCGACGCCUCUCCCUCCACCUCUCCACCCCCAGAAGCACGCCCAGACCCCGGCGAACCUCUCCCUCUCCUCAUUUCCUCGCCGGAGCUACCGUGGCCAUGCGCCCAAGUCUCGGCCGCCGCCUUCGUCCUCGGCCCCAGCUAGCCGCCCUUGUCCCGCUCCACCAUGGCGCUGCUGUGGGGUCUAGGAGGAUGCGACACUUCUCCCCGCUCUCGCCGGUGUCUUCACUCUGGCGGGAGGUGGCCGGAGUUGGCCGGACCGGCGCUGGCCUCGCUGCUGCCUCGCCCCUCCUCUGCUCUGCGUGCGCGUCGGGGAAGAGACGGAGAAGGAGGGAGGAGAGAGAAGGAUAAGGCGGGCCCCGCAUGUCAUCCUCUGCCCGUUGACCCGCCCGGUCCACGUGGAUAAGUGACGGGCACCACCCGCGUGGGACCCGCCCGUCAGCGACCCUGGAGCCCGGCCCCGCCCCUGCUGACUGGAUUAAGUGGAGGCGUAAACACAUGAGUACGUUUUCGUUUCCAGAAAGCGUAUUUUCCCUCUGCUUCGGCCAAAAUUGCAGGUGCUGCCGUGAUUGCUUGAUUGUUUGUUGAGGUGUCUGUUCGUGCGAGCUAGAUCGUGUCCCAGCCAGAGUCCCUACGGAGUGGAGUUCACCACCUUCGUCGUUGUUCCGCUGCCAGAAGUUUUCCACUGCUACGUGUUGUUCCACUGCUGGCAUAGAGCAAGUGUAGUAUCGCAGGCAUAGUGUCGCCAUGCUGAUGUGAUCAUUGUAUCAUCAGACCCGUGUAAUUAUUAUUCAUUUCAAUAAGAGCUGAUUUUUUUCUAUGUCAA